UACGUAGGGGGCGAGCGUUGUCCGGAUUUAUUGGGCGUAAAGAGCUCGUAGGCGGUUUGGUAAGUUGGAUGUGAAACCUCCAGGCUCAACUUGGAGGGGUCAUUCGAUACUGCCAUGACUAGAGUUCGGUAGGGGAGUGUGGAAUUCCUGGUGGAGCGGUGAAAUGCGCAGAUAUCAGGAGGAACACCCGUAGCGAAGGCGGCACUCUGGGCCGGAACUGACGCUGAGGAGCGAAAGCGUGGGGAGCGAACAGG
rnacentral:rRNA from 1 species